AGUGAACGCUGGCGGUAGGCCUAACACAUGCAAGUCGAACGGCAGCACAGUAAGAGCUUGCUCUUACGGGUGGCGAGUGGCGGACGGGUGAGGAAUACAUCGGAAUCUACUUUUUCGUGGGGGAUAACGUAGGGAAACUUACGCUAAUACCGCAUACGACCUACGGGUGAAAGCAGGGGAUCUUCUGACCUUGCGCGAUUGAAUGAGCCGAUGUCGGAUUAGCUAGUUGGCGGGGUAAUGGCCCACCAAGGCGACGAUCCGUAGCUGGUCUGAGAGGAUGAUCGGCCACACUGGAACUGAGACACGGUCCAGACUCCUACGGGAGGCCGCAGUGGGGAAUGUUGGACAAUGGGCGCAAGCCUGAUCCAGCCAUACCGCGUGGGUGAAGAAGGCCUUCGGGUUGUAAAGCCCUUUUGUUGGGAAAGAAAAGCAGCAGGUUAAUACCCCGCUGUUCUGACGGUACCCAAAGAAUAAGCACCGGCUAACUUCGUG
rnacentral:rRNA from 1 species